GACGAACGCUGGCGGCGUGCUUAACACAUGCAAGUCGAACGGAAAGGCCUGCUUUCCCUUGUGGAUUGCGGGUACUCGAGUGGCGAACGGGUGAGUAACACGUGAGUGAUCUGCCCCCAACUUGGGUAUAAGCCUGGGAAACUGGGUCUAAUUCCCGAUAGGACUGCAGGGUGGUGCCUGUGGUGGAAAACGAUUUUCUAGUGGUUGGGGAUGAGCUCGCGGCCUAUCAGCUUGUUGGUGGGGUAAUGGCCUACCAAGGCGGCGACGGGUAGCCGGCCUGGGAGGGGGGACGGCGACAUUGGGACUGAGAUACGGCCCAGACGCCUACGGGAGGCAGCAGUGGGGAAUAUUGCACAAGGGGCGGAAGCCUGAUGCAGCGACGCGGCGUGGGGGAUGACGGCCUUCGGGUUGUAAACUCCUUUCGACCGCGAGGAAGCCACCUGGUUGGAGGGGUGGUGACGGUAGUGGUAGAAGAAGCACCGGCUAACUACGUG
rnacentral:rRNA from 1 species